rnacentral:rRNA from 1 species
CGGGCUUCGGCCUGGCGACGAGUGGCGAACGGGUGAGUACAACAUCGGAACGUAUCCUUUAGUGGGGGAUAGCCCGGCGAAAGCCGGAUUAAUACCGCAUGAUCUCUGAGGAGCAAAGCGGGGGAACCGUAAGGUCCUCGCGCUGUUGGAGCGGCCGAUGCCGGAUUAGCUUGUUGGUGGGGUAAGAGCCUACCAAGGCGACGAUCCGUAGCUGGUCUGAGAGGAUGAUCAGCCACACUGGAACUGAGACACGGUCCAGACUCCUACGGGAGGCAGCAGUGGGGAAUUUUGGACAAUGGGGGCAACCCUGAUCCAGCCAUGCCGCGUGCGGGAAGAAGGCCUUCGGGUUGUAAACCGCUUUCGUACGGAACGAAAUGGUGCAGGCCAAUACCCUGUAUUGAUGACGGUACCGUAAGAAGAAGCACCGGCUAACUACGUGCCAGCAGCCGCGGUAAUACGUAGGGUGCGAGCGUUAAUCGGAAUUACUGGGCGUAAAGCGUGCGCAGGCGGCUCUUUAAGACAGGUGUGAAAUCCCCGGGCUUAACCUGGGAAUUGCGCUUGUGACUGGAGAGCUCGAGUGCGGCAGAGGGGGAUGGAAUUCCUGGUGUAGCAGUGAAAUG